AAAAUCCGUCGACUUUAAAAAUCGUGAGGGUUCAAGUCCCUCUAUCCCCAAAAAACCUAUUUGACUCCUAAAAUAUUUAUCCUACCCCC
rnacentral:tRNA from 1 species